AAAGAAAGAAAGAAAGAAAGAAAGAAAGAAAGAAAGAGAAAGAAAGACCCAACUCUAUACUGCCCAGAAGAAAGCCACCUGUCUCCCAUCCCUCAGACACUGUCUCGCUUUGUUGCCUCUAAUUCAUUGGUCUCUGACUCCUGGGCUCCCGUGAUCCUACCUCCACCUCAUAAGCAACCAAGAGUACAAGUACAAAAUACCAUAUCCAAUAUUUUUACCAUUAAUUUAUUUAUUUACUUUACAUCCCAAUAGCAGCUCCCCCUACUCCCAGUCCCUGUCUCAUAUGACCCCUCCCCCAUACCCCUUCUCUUCUACUCUGAGAAUGGGGAGGCUCCCCUCGGUACCAACCCACCUUAGUACAUCAAGUCACUGCAGGACUAGGCACAUCCUCUCCUCCUGAGGCCAGACAAGGGUAACAGGAUCCACAGGCAAGCAACAGUCAGGGACAGCCCCUGCCCCAGUUGUGGGGGAGGGGGGGGCACACGAAGAUCAAGUUAUCUAAAUUACAUAUUUUUAUUAAUAUUUUUACUAAAUUCUUUGAGAAUUUUAUACCAUGUAUUUUGAACAUAUUCACUCCCUGCUCUCUCUCAACUCCUUUCGGUUCCAACCUCUUUUCCUGCUGCCUCCCCAUAACCCACAAAUUCCAAUCUGUGCUAUCCAUACCUGAGUGUGGGGCCAUUCACUGGAGUGGGGUUGACCUGUAACAAGUCAGACCCUUAGAGAUGACUGACUCUUCAUCCCCUGGCAGCUAACAGCUGUCCAUAGCAGCUUGGUUAGGGAGGGAGGGUCAUGAGCCCUUUCUACUCCAUACAAGCAUGUAAACUGGCUUGAGCUAAAUGUAAAAAUGUAAAUAGUUUAAAAGAAAAGAGUGAACAAGUUAAACUGCAUAGACAUCAAAAGACAAAUGAAGUGACUGUAGUAUAGUUAGAUACCCUAGAUUUCGGGGCGAAGAGUGUUUCUAGGGAUGGAGAAAGGCACUCUGUAAUAAUAAAGGUGCUAUAGCAGAGAAGAUAGUAUGAUUCUAAACAGUCUUCAAAUGCAGAAAACAUGGUCUGGUAAGCUAAUGAUAAAUAGAUUCACAACUGCCUAGUUGAGGAUUUCAGUUCUCAUCUUACCAUCAUCAAUGGAGAAGAACAAGUCACCAGUGAGCAUUAAAGAGCUGAGUCACUAACUCAGCACUUACGGGCCACUCUGGUCCCAAACAGCAAAAUGCGCGUUAUGUUCUUACACAAGCCGAACACUUAUCACGGUGGAGAAUAACCUCCUAUAGCACAAUUCUGUUCUCAAUUCCAAAUUCCCCAGGAGUCAAAAGGAAGAAAGACGUAUUCAUAAAGCAUGCUGAACUGACUAGACAUGAUCCACCUUCGUGAGGUGCAGAGGGAAAUUUAUGAUACUCUUUAUAUUUGAAAGGAAGACAGAUGUAUCAAGGAAGUGAGCUUCUAUCUUAGUGACCUAGAGACAGUGCAAAUUAAGCCCAAAGCGGGGCGGGGGGGAGGGGGUGAAAUGGAGAGGAGAAGCUAUAGGGGAAAUACUGAGAUCAAAUGCUGGCAUUUUGAAAAUAUGAACAAAAUCAAUAAGCUGUAGUCAGAUUUAUUAAGAAGAGAGAGGACAAAAAUCACCCAAUCAGAAAAGAGAGGACAAAAAUCAUCCAAUCAGGAACGAGUGAGGCGGUGCCAAAGUCCUACAGUUAAUUAAAAACACAUUAGGAACUGUUAGCAAUUUUACACCCGUAAAUCUAGCAACUUGGUGAACUAUCCAUACCGUGAAAGAAGUGAUCAAAGCACUUUCCAGAAAUAAAUAACCUGACCAGUGUAAGCUACAGAAGUACAACUUCAAACUUCAGGCCUAGAUGCCUUCACUGGCAAGCCUUCCCAACAGUAAAGGAAAAAACAGGGCUAGUUCUAGACAAACGAUUCAGACAGCAGAUAAGAGAGCAGAUCCUAGCUCGUUUAUGAAGCUGUCAUUGACCUGACACUCAAGCCUGUCACAGACAGAUUCAGCCAAAUACUUCUCAUUAAUACACACAAAUUCUGUAGACAGGACAGGGCCAGAAAGAUGGCUCAGCUGGUAAAGUCCUUGCCUCACUAGCCUAACAACCAGGGUUCAAUCCCUGGACCCCAAAUAAAGGACGGACACCACAGAGUUACCUUUCACCUCUACACUGUGGAAUCUCUCCUCCAGUACACGCAUUAUAAAAAAAUUAAUAAUGAUAAUGUGAUGAGUAAGUAUAACAACUGUAAUAAACCUUAGCAAAAAUCUUUAGUUGAUUCCAGAGGGGAAUCUCUUCUCCAAAUAGAGGCAUAUGACAGUAAUGGUUAAUAUUAAUUUUCAACUAGGAUCUAGUUGGGAGAUCGGCCUCUAGGCCUGCCUGUGAGAGAGUAUCUUCAUUCAUUUAAUUGAAGUGGGAAGGCAGCCCCCUGUGGGUAUGCCAUUCUCAGUCUGGGCUCCUGGCCUAUGGAGGAGGAAAGCGAAGCCGCACGAAUAGCAGCACGCAUUUAUGGCUCUCUGUGCCUCGACUGUGGUGCACUGUGACCGGCUUUUCACACUUCUGAACCUUGACUCUUUCAGCACGAUGACUGGUUCCCCUGAACGGGAGCCAAAUAACCCCUUUGUCCCCAAGUUACUCUAUCAUCACAGCAACAGGAAAAGAAACCAAGACAAUAAACGAGAGUUUCUUUCAUUUUUUUUUAAAUGGGAAUAGAAGGUUAGCCAAUAGUUGAAAGCCAAUCCAUGCAAACAGCAAAUUAAAUUAAAUAAAAGACCAUGUUUAUCUCAGUAGAUAUCACCAAAACAUAUGAUGAAGAAUCUUCAUUUACAAUAUAAAAAAUAUCCUCAGCAAUGUAGAAAUAGAAGAGUCUCUGGAAAUUUAUUUUAUUUUGAGUGUGUGUGAUGUGGAGCAACAACUUAUUUUCACAUUUAUUGCUUUUUUAAUUAUUUGGACUAAAGUUUCCAGACAGUACCAAGGCUUCAUGGUUUAUGUCUAUAAUCUCAGUAUUUUGAAAGGUGAGGUAGGAGAUUGCCACAAGUUUGAGUCUAGUCUGGGCUACCUAGCACAUUCCAGGCCAGUAGGCUUCAGAGUGAGACUCUGCCUUAGAAUUUUUUUCCUUAGCAUAUAGUGACCACAGAACUUCAAACAUUUUCCUAAUUUAAACAACAUUUAAGCCCAGUCACCAGUUUCAGUUUCCUAGAAGAGCUUGAAAGCUUUGUUGAACUCAGAUACCCAGCUCCUUAAAAACCGUGGGUCAUGACCCCACAUGGGGCCACAUAACUAACUGUGAGUAUUGCGAAACAUUGGCAAUUGGUAACAGAUUCCUGAACAUACAAUGACCAGAAAUUAAUUCAAAAUCAAGUAGGUAGCGAACCCCUGAGCAUCUCGAGCCGUGUUUGCCUGUGCUGCACUGCAGUCUUGGUUCUGAAUGGUGUGUGCACUUUGCAUUGCAUAUGCCACUGCCCACACAGAGCCAGAAUACGCUGCACAAAACAUCAUGCCCAGAUUCUGGACUGCUAUAUGCUGAAAUUAAAGUGAUUUUACUAUACAUACAAAGGUUUCUGGUCUUAAACAUUAAUAUUUAUAAAGAGCAAAGACUUCAUUAUCAUUCCUCAGCAUGAAUCAAGUUAUUAUUUCUUUGGAUUACAUCGUAUUAGAAUGAUUUUUUUUAAUUUCUAUUUGAGUUGCUGACAAGUUUCAUUUUUAAAAAGUUGAAUGAAUUUUGGCUUGAGAUUAAGACAGAAUUUCCAGUGGUUUCUGAAAGGGAUCGCAACACACACAUGCAAUUUGUACCACAUACUUGUGUCCUGUGUCGUCCUUAGCCCUGACAAUUAUAAAUCAGAUAUUAAUCAACUCUGAAAAAUGUUGAAGAUGCGUAUGGUGGUUUGAAUGAGAGACUCUUACAGUCAUUUUUGAACGCUUGUUUCUCAGUUGGUGAAACCCUCUGGGAAGGGUUACAUGUGGCCUUUUUGGAGGAGGUGUGUCACUUAGGGUAAACUUGAGGUUUCCAAAACCUUUGCCAUUAUCUCUGCCUCUCUAUCUCAUUAUUGCUGCCUCAAGAUGUAAGCUCUCAGCAUUGCUUCAGCACCAUGCCUGCCUGCUGUAAUGCUCCCACCCUGAUGGCCAUGAACUAACCUUCCACAACUGUAAGCAAGCCCUUGAUGAAGUGCUUUCUUUUGUAAGAUGCUUUGGUCAUGAUAUAUCUUCACACCAGUAGAGCAGUGACUAAGACAAUGCCCUAUGUCCCAAAGUAUCAGAUAUUCAGCCAAUAAUUCUUAUAAAAAUAGAUGAAUACAGCCACCACCUCAUUCAUAUGUAAAUUUACCUUAAAAAUCUUUAAAUGGUAAAAUUAUAUGUAUAGCAAAGAAUUGUUUUAAAAACUUGUUUAUUAUGUGUUCUCAGUAAAUGUCUGAGUACUUUUUAUUUUAGCCUGUAUACCCAGGGUCACAUACAAAUCUAUUCGGUGAAAGGGGAUCACACAUGGAAUGGCUGAGGCAGUCUAGUCUGCAUGUUAGUGAUGUGUCGGUCUCAUUUCUAGCUCUGUGAUGUUGUUAGUCAUGAUUAUAACUUUAUAGGAUUUAAAAGUAUCAUGCACACAAAUCUUUGGACAUACCUAUUGUAGAUUAUCUAAACUAGGCUAAUUGAGGUGGGAAAACACACCCAAAAUAUGGAUGGUACCAUUCCAUGGGCUAGAGUCCUCUGGUGAACAGAAGGGAGAGUGCGCUGAGCACAGCCUUCAUCUGCCUCUGCAUCCAGAUGCACUUCGACAAGCUGUCUCGUGUACCUGCCGCCGUUACUUCCUCACUGGAUGGACUGUCCCCUUGAACCGUUGGUCAGAAUAAAUCCUUCCUUGUGUUGCUUUUGCAAGUACUUUGUCUCAGCAUCAGGAAAAAUAACUAAUGUAAACUUACUCAUUGAGAAGCACCAUUUCCUCACUGAAGAUCAAACUGGUGACAGCAGGUAAGUUGGUUAAUAAAAAAAAAAGUAUUUUGUUUUGUUUGGUGUGUUUGUUUGCUUACUGCAGGGUCUUGGCUGUGUUGCUCUCACUGGCCUCAAACUUCUGAUGAUCUCAUAUCAGCCUCCCAGGUGCUGGCAUUACAGCCAUUGGCUACCACACCCAAGUGAAAAAAAGAAUUUUAGAACAAAAGAAUACUCUUGUAAUUGAAAGGCUAAAAGGAAGGCUUAUGGAAGUGUUUGCUGGUGCUUACGGCUUCUAACCAUUCAUAGGUAUCUGAAAUUCUCCACUUGGUCUUUGUUUCAUGUUACUAAGACCUUUUGCCUUUGGUGAUUUUGAUCUUGCACAUCAGUUCUAAGUACCAUCAGUUGUCUUUUAUCAAUUAAAUAUACCCACCCAAAAUGAUUUUCAUUUUAUUUAGCUGAUAAGUAAGAUGGAAAUAAUAAACUGCCUUCAAGUGUAUCUGUUUGGAGCAUGGAACAACUGUGAAGGGUAUGGGCGUUGCAGCUGCCGAGCUGUUGUUUAAACAUUAUCUCCCACACUGUGCCUAAUGGAUUUAAUUAUGGUUCACACAGUUGUUUCUUUAUCACCUCUUCAGAUGGAGAAGUCUACAGAUGCAUUGUAAACCUCUAUGGGAAUGUAUUAUUAGGCUGUCUCUGUGAUAGAGGUAUUCCUGAAUUAUGCUGUGAAACCCACUUGCAAACAAAUUCCAUUAAACAUUGG
rnacentral:lncRNA from 1 species